rnacentral:tRNA from 2 species
GGAGAGGUACCGAAGUGGUCGUAACGGGCGCGCCUCGAAAGCGUGUUGUCCGAAAGGGCACGUGGGUUCGAAUCCCACCCUCUCCGCCA